rnacentral:rRNA from 1 species
AGAGUUUGAUCAUGGCUCAGAAUCAACGCUGGCGGCGUGCUUUACACAUGCAAGUCGAGCGAGGCCAGGUAGCAAUACCUGAGUCGAGCGGCGAACGGGUGAGUAACACGUGGAUAACCUACCCUGAGGUGGGGAACAACCAGGGGAAACUCUGGCUGAUACCGCAUGAUACCGAAAGGUCAAAGGGGGCUCGCAAGGGCUCUCGCCACAGGAGGGGUCCGCGUCCGAUUAGCUAGUUGGUAGGGUAAUGGCCUACCAAGGCGACGAUCGGUAGCCGGCCUGAGAGGGUGAUCGGCCACACUGGAACUGAGACACGGUCCAGACUCCUACGGGAGGCAGCAGUGGGGAAUUUUGCGCAAUGGGCUAACGCCUGACGCAGCAACGCCGCGUGGAGGAUGAAGGUCUUUGGAUUGUAAACUCCUGUCAGCAGGGAAAAAGCGAUGAGGCCUCAUACGUCUCAGAGUUGAUUGUACCUGCAGAGGAAGCCCCGGCUAACUCUGUGCCAGCCGCCGCGGUAAUUC